rfam:Tupaia belangeri cont1.590415, whole genome shotgun sequence.
GUCUCAGGCUGAUGGAGUGAGUGAUGGAGUGGGUUGCCAACUGUCAUUACUCCACUUGGUGCAGAAUAACUGUCAGAAAUCUAUUCACAUAUGCCCAAAGAAGUCUGCCCAGGGUGAAACAAAUGCCUUUGAGGU